rnacentral:rRNA from 1 species
AUGGCGGACUACCACUUCGUGUACAAGGACGUGGAGGGGGCGACCACGCAGUGGGACGACAUCCAGCGCAAGCUCGGGAACCUGCCCGAGAAGCCGGCGCCCUUCAAGCCGCCGCCCUUCGCCCCCAGGGCCGACGCCGACGAGCAGCCCAGGUCCAAGGAGUGGCUCGACGCGCGCGACCCCGACGAGCUCGAGGAGCUCGAGGACGACCUCGACGAUGACCGCUUCCUCGAGCAGUACAGGAGGAUGAGGCUUGCAGAGUUCAAGGAGGCAGCAAAAACUGCCAGAUUUGGCACAAUACAACCCAUCACAGGCUCUGAUUUUGUGCGUGAGGUUUCGCAGGCUCCACCGGAUGUCUGGGUUGUGGUCUUCCUCUACAAGGAUGCGAUACCAGAAUGUGGGCUGCUUGAGACUUGCCUGGAGGAACUGGCGACAAAAUAUGCAGAAACCAAGUUCGUUAAAAUUAUUUCCACGGACUGUAUUCCCAACUACCCAGAUAGGAAUGUCCCUACAAUACUGGUGUACAACAACAGUGCUGUCAAAGGGACUUAUGUUGGUCUACAGAAGUUCGGUGGAAAGAAAUGCACACCUGAAUCUGUUGCAUUGGCGCUUUGCCACUCAGACCCAGUACUGAAUGAUGGACAAGGUGGUAACAAUGUCAUGGAAGGCGUUCGCAGGAAGUUCAUAGAAAAGGUUGUCUCCCAGCUUGAAACGCGAGAAGACGAAGAUGAUAGCGACUAA